rnacentral:rRNA from 1 species
CAAACGACUCUCGGCAACGGAUAUCUCGGCUCACGCAUCGAUGAAGAACGUAGCAAAAUGCGAUACUUGGUGUGAAUUGCAGAAUCCCGUGAACCAUCGAGUUUUUGAACGCAAGUUGCGCCCGAAGCCUUCUGGCCGAGGGCACGUCUGCCUGGGCGUCACGC